UUUAAUGUUCCUGACUGUUCCAUGGCAGUUGCUAAGAGAUUCAGCAGGAUCCAUGGAAAUGCAUAAACACUCCCCCUCCCACUAUUUUUGCUUAGAAAGGUUAAGAUUACAUGAGAAACCAUCAACAUUCGGCCCAAAAUCUUAAAUGAGAAAUGUAUUUCUGAGGUAAAUGGAAGCAGAGGUUAAUGAACAUUUAUUGGACCAACUCAACACCUUGAAAUCACAGGCAUCAGUCAGACUGAGAGGCAGCAUACUGGUAAGAUCAAGUUUUCUUUACAAAUCUAUGAGCCCCUGUACAAAAAUAAA